CGAACUUCAAAGCCACAAAAUAGAAGGCCUUUGUUUGAUGUUGACUGUUGAACUGCAUGUACUUCACCGUGCACAAAUACUUUGUUUCAACUUCAUUACAAGUAUUACUAUUCAUCGUGGCUGCACGUUUCUUCUCAGCUGUCCCUAUUUGGACGAUUACUUAAUAAUUGUAGGAAAACUGCACAAUGAGCUCAAUUACUGUGACCGUGCACCAGCCUAGUCCCAGGCUCUCUCUCUCUAUUCGCUGCUUUGAUAUAUUUAAAUAAGUCUUAAAAGUUUUAUGCCUGGGUGUGCUGUGCGGAACGCUUCAGUGAGAGAGCCUAGCAGAUUUCGGUAAAAUGGUCCCUGAUUUCAAAAAAGUGGUCCCUGGCCUGGUUACCAAGCAUAUCGCAUUUGUAAAUAGAAAAUGUUAUGGAAAUUUCCAUUGUGUUUAUAAUUAAGUCAUACACCCUUUUCCGCAUAAAUGGCUGCCGAUUAAAAAUUCUUUUAUGUGCAUAUAAAUUGGCCCAACUAGCCUCGUACUCAUGUUAAGAUUUCAAAGGAAUUUCUACCCAGAAACGAGGCUAGUUGAGCCAAUUUAUAUGCACAUAAAAGAAUUUUUAAUCGGCAGCCAUUUAUGAAAAGGGUGUAUUAGUUUUGCUCUAAUGCUGUCGGAACAAUGAAAUAGGCUACGUUUCGCUACCAUACAGUCAGAAUGGAAUAACGGGCUAAAUAUGACUCGUGUUUACUAAAAUAUAAAGCCAUAUUAAAUGCUAUCUAAAAGCUUGAAAAUUAUGCCGAGUCUCCGACCAAAAAUGUUUUGACAACACAGUCAUGUCAGGCGAAUAUUUCCAGUCUCCUCAGCUACUUAAACCUGUCAAGUAGAAAGCGUAGUUGUGUAUACCAGUAUGAUCUAGUGUUGAUCACAACUUGCGAGUAUAUCAUGAAUAACAUCAACGAUUAUACGACCAUUGCUCAGACUCAGUAUCGUAAAUUUGUAUAUAAUUUUUUUUGAUUGAGCACAUUUUUAAUACAGUUUGAAUUUGGUUAUGUAGACAUCAAACAUGAUCAACGAACAUUGUCGUGUUUACAAACUUAUUUGUAUAAACUGGGACUAGGCUGACCGUGCACAUAUAUUAACAUGCAUGCAUAAACUCUGACAAAAAAACAUGAUAUAACAUCAGCCUAGUCCCAGUCGUUCUGAAGCAAGCGCGAGAAAAAACGUGGAUGUAGUACGAGACUGGGAUCUAGGUGUGACGUCACC